rnacentral:rRNA from 1 species
AUUGAACGCUGGCGGCAGGCCUAACACAUGCAAGUCGAGCGGAUGAAGGGAGCUUGCUCCUGGAUUCAGCUGCGGACGGGUGAGUAAUUCCUAGGAAUCUGCCUGGCAUUGGGGGAUAACGUCCGUAAACGGGCGCUAAUACCGCAUACGUCCUGAUGUAGAAAGGCGUGGAUCUUCGGACCUCACGCCAUCAGAUGAGCCUAAGUCGGAUUAGCUAGUUGGUGUGGUAAAGGCCUACCAAGGCGACGAUCCGUAACUGGUCUGAGAGGAUGAUCAGUCACACUGGAACUGAGACACGGUCCAGACUCCUACGGGAGGCAGCAGUGGGGAAUCUUGGACAAUGGGCGAAAGCCUGAUGCAGCAAUGCCGCGUGUGUGAAGAAGGUCUUCGGAUUGUAAAGCACUUUAAGUUGGGAGGAACGGCAGUAAGUUAAAACCUUGAUGUUUUGACGUUACCAACAGAAUAAGCCACGGCUAACUUCGUG